rnacentral:rRNA from 1 species
GACGAACGCUGGCGGCGUGCUUAACACAUGCAAGUCGAACGGAAAGGCCCUGCUUUUGUGGGGUGCUCGAGUGGCGAACGGGUGAGUAACACGUGAGUAACCUGCCCUUGACUUUGGGAUAACUUCAGGAAACUGGGGCUAAUACCGGAUAGGAGCUCCUGCUGCAUGGUGGGGGUUGGAAAGUUUCGGCGGUUGGGGAUGGACUCGCGGCUUAUCAGCUUGUUGGUGGGGUAGUGGCUUACCAAGGCUUUGACGGGUAGCCGGCCUGAGAGGGUGACCGGCCACAAUGGGACUGAGAUACGGCCCAGACGCCUACGGGAGGCAGCAGUGGGGAAUAUUGCACAAUGGGCGGAAGCCUGAUGCAGCAACGCCGCGUGCGGGAUGACGGCCUUCGGGUUGUAAACCGCUUUCGCCUGUGACGAAGCGUGAGUGACGGUAAUGGGUAAAGAAGCACCGGCUAACUACGUG